rnacentral:rRNA from 1 species
UACGUAGGGUGCGAGCGUUGUCCGGAAUUAUUGGGCGUAAAGAGCUUGUAGGCGGUUUGUCGCGUCUGCUGUGAAAAUCCGAGGCUCAACCUCGGACUUGCAGUGGGUACGGGCAGACUAGAGUGUGGUAGGGGAGACUGGAAUUCCUGGUGUAGCGGUGAAAUGCGCAGAUAUCAGGAGGAACACCGAUGGCGAAGGCGGGUCUCUGGGCCUUACCUGACGCUGAGGAGCGAAAGCAUGGGUAGCGAACAGGAUUAGAUA